rnacentral:lncRNA from 1 species
GAAGCUUCAAGUGCAGAGGCACUUGUACAUCUACUUAUCUUGAGUCUCAAUGAUGCUGUUUAUGAGUGAGCUAUUCAAAUGGAGGAAGAAACCCACGGAGAAGGAGAAAUAACAGGUCGGAGUGAUUAUGUACAGAAGGAUAGGCUCUAGCAGGAGUCCAGUGGGAAAGAAGGAAGGGAAUACAAUUAAGAAUUAUUAAUGGCAGAUCUCUAAUGAUUUCACUGGAUCCAAAGGAACAGGGCAAUACUGAGUAAGAAACACUUGAUAUACGAAAAAAGCGUGAGUGCGAAGGAAAAUACAUCAUUCUACAGAUGUUGACGGACUCUGACGGUGGGAAAGCGUCCCUCAAGAUUGAAUUGGAGUAGAAGCUGACCCUCCCACUUGCCCAGAGAUCCCCUAGCUGGAGAAAACAAAAAAAUCCAAAUGUGUCUUCAAACAUGGCCAGAAUGAGGUUUCAACACACAUGGGAACAAGAUAUAUUCAUGGAAUGUGCCUUUGAACCUGCAUUCAAAAGAACUCAGACAGAGUAGGAGAAUGGACCAGAUGACCUCUAUAGGUGUCUCUCCACAGGCAGAAAAAUCAAACGCCCAGAGAGGUCAAGAUGUCUGCAAAGAGACACAGAGUGAUGCAAUGGAAAUCCUGUGUGGAGGUCUCCAGAAGGCUAAUUUCUGAAGCAGUGUUCUAUCCACAUGACCGUGCUGCUGCUCAUUAAGAUGGUACCUCUCAUUAAGAUAAAGCAUAAUCAUUAAAAAUCCUUUAGCUUGCUCACAUUAACUACCAUUGUGCGUCACAGGUCUAAUGCUUCAUGAAAGCUCAGAGUGAAUUAGACAUUUUAUUUAAGUGCUACUUAACUAAAAGUUAAAAAGUAUAAUUUUCUAUUGCAGCAUAAGAACUGGAGAGACUAAUUUGGUGUGGUUGUUAAAUUUUACAAAGCCUGAUUCUCAAUUUUCAAAAAAUAUUGUACAUUUAUUUAUUGAAGUGAAUGAAACAUUUGCUAUAAAACUAUUCAACGGAAAGUUUUUUAACAAAGCAUAAUUUACUUUUCAUUUACAGAACAAUGGAAAGUAGAAAGAAAUCUCCUCCAAGGUAUUAGAAUCAUGUACAGUUUCAUAUUUGACUAAAAAAUUAUUUCCCCAGCCUGUUUUCUCAACACUAAGGAUAUGCAGAAAAGUAUCACUUGCAUUCAUCAUGAAAAUUACAGAAAAAUGACUGAAACUACUGAGAACAUUAUUAAAUAAAACAUAUACUUAUUAUCUGU